CGAUUCUGUUGUCUCAUUUUAUCCAAUCAAAAUUCUCACAUUCUCCUGAGAUAACAAACCCCCAACCCUAAAAUCGAAAAUCUCUAAAAAUAAAAAGCAAACCAAAAUCCUUCUGAUAAAUCAGCACCUGAGAUGAUGGCGUCGUCGAAGGUGAUGACGACCACGUCAUCCUCAACGACCAAUUCGGAUCUGUCAUGUCAGCAGUCUCCCUUAUGUCCAUCCCUCUGCUCUUUACUCGCCGAUCUUCAAAAUCAACAAGACAAUCCUCCCGAUCCAUCUUUCCCUAACGCCAUGGACGAUCUUCUUAAGAACAUUUAUUCGGUUCCUACGCCCGAUGAACUCGCGCUCUCUGGCGCAUCCUUCUCACACGAGGGAAGUUUCAAUAUUUCCAAAGACAUGGCCAACAGAUCCGUCGAGGAGGUCUGGAAGGAGAUGGUGGCUGGCGGCGGCACUGAUCAGAGGAGCGUCGGAUCACGAGACGAGGAGAUGACGCUGGAGGAUUUUUUGACCAAGGCUGAUGCUGUCAGAGAGGAGGAUCAACUUAAUUCUAAUUCUAAUUCUAAUAAUAAUAAUGUUAAUAACGUUACUAAUAAUAAUAUUGAUAAUAAUAGUAGUGUUAGCAAUUAUAGGAAUAAUCAGAUGGUGAUUGUUGGAAGUGGAAGGGGAAAGAGAAGAAUAGUUGAAGAGGCUCCUUUGGAUAAAGCUACACAGCAAAAGCAAAGAAGAAUGAUCAAGAAUCGUGAAUCUGCAGCUAGGUCUAGAGAGCGCAAGCAGGCGUAUACAGUUGAACUGGAGUCUCUGGUAACGCAACUGGAGGAGGAGAAUGCUCGUCUGUUGAGAGAAGAGCAAUUAAAAAUUCUUCAACCAUUAGUUGCUUUUGAAGUCUACGAUCGUUUUACCCUUAUAUUGGUUGGCAAGCCGGGAAUCUUUGUUUAGUGGCCUCCAUUUUUCGUUCAUUAAUAAUGCAUACUGGUUCAUGCGAUGGAGAAAUAUUGACUCUGGACAAGAGAACAGAUACCCUCAAUCACAGAUAUAGAGAAGAUGAGUCAUCUUAAGGAAUAAAAUAGUUUGAUAUGAAAGCAUCACAGUUUGAUAUAAGUGUAAGAUGUGAGAUCAAGAGAGAGUGGAGAGCAAUUGUUGAGAGGUUUAUGAAACUCAUUUUGUUUAUGAAGAAAUGGUUCUCUUGAUCUGCUUCAUUGAAAGAUUUUGGCUCACCAAAACAAGGAGAGGUUCAAGCAGUUGAUGGAGAAUCUCAUUCCAGUUGUUGAGAAGAGAAGACCACCUCGUGUUCUUCGGAGAGUGCAUUCACUAAACUGGUAAAGGAGCUUUGUUGUUAUCAUUAAUGGUGAGAUGAGUCUGUUUCGUCUAACAUUGAAGCUAUAGCUAGAGAGUAGAUGGUAGAAGAAAACCUUUAUAUCUGUGAAAUAGAUUAACAAAUGUCCUUUAAACUUUGACAGAAGCUGGUGCAGCCGCAGACUUAAAUAAUGUGUUCUACAUUGAAGAUGGAUAUGUAAAUCCAUCGCAUAUGAGAUUCCUGACAAAUUUGUUAUAGAUUUUCUCAAGUUGAAUACUGUAGAAAAUUAGCCAAACAAAAAACAGAGUAAGAACUCUAUGAUUAGGAAGCUUUCUUGCCUGCUAUAUUUUACCUGGAGAAAAACUAAUUGAUUUGUACUCAAAUUUACUAAUCUUAUAGUAUGAUAUUUUUAUAUUUGUUUAA